GUUGCUUCCCCAGAGGAAUUUUGCUUGGGUGUUUCCCCAGCAAGGUCCCUUAGUGGAUUCUCUCAGUCGGAGACCGGAUUUUUUAUCCGAAGUAUCCGUUACGGAUAAGUUUUUGCUGUAUCGGCAUAUUCCCCAAUACAUGCAUUUUGAGUCAGCUCGAGUCUUUCCAUGGAUUUAUUUCAUGGAUUCCCUUCGUGUCUCUCAACAAGUUUCAAGUCGUGACCUGCUCACGCAUUUUUAUCC
rnacentral:lncRNA from 1 species